rnacentral:lncRNA from 1 species
CAGGACAGGCACCUUCUGUUCCACGUGCAAGCUAUGCUAGCAGCCUUGCCCGCUCUUUGUAUCCCUAUCUACCACAAUAACAAACAGUGUUGCUGAGGCAUUGUUGUUGACGUGUUGCCUUUAAAAAACACCCUCUUGUCAUGGGAUAAGCCUCUUCCUGACGAUGGCCCAUCCUUAUCUGGCCUGCCAAGCAGCCCUGUUGCCAUGGAGGGCCGAUGGGAUGAGGUGUGUUUUUCGCCUGCAUCACUCCCACCGGGGUGUAACAAGGACUCUUGUGCACGUCAUGCGUGGCUGGCCUGUGGCAGCCCGGGGGCCAGGCUCUUCCUGUAGGUAAAACCCAAUCAACUGAUCAGCUGCAGAUAAUAUCAAGACCUCUGUUUGAUACGUUAACAGUGACAGACAUGCUUCCACAAUUCACAGCCCCGUACCCUUUGGCAACAGAGUCGUUGUGGGUGAAGAAAACACUCUAGUCACCAGCUUUGGGAUGAGAGGGCUCGGGUUCAUAUAAACACAACCUCGCGUCACUGCUUGUGACCACAGACUGUUUUGGGUCUUUGCACUCACCCUCUGAUCUUGAUUUCCUACAUGACAACGUUCUUAGUUUAUAUGCCCUUUGGCAAGUGCAGCAAGCCUGUUUCCUGUUUCUAAACUUGUAGACAGCCAUUCAUGUGUCUCGCACUUGUCAAUUUUAACCAGAAAACACCAGCCCCUUCUUGUUGCAUUUUUACCUUUAGCCCAGGUGAAGAGGACCGUAGAAGUAAAGCUGUUGAUUUAUUCGAUAGAAAAUUCUUAAUUAAUUUAAAUAAACUUCCAUAGGACUUGUAAUUUCAAGAAGGAAGUAAGGGGAAAUACACGCCUCCUUUCCUAAAGCCUAAAAAAAUAAGUGGUGACAAGGCUAAAGAUUUAAAAGCAUUGAAACAA